rnacentral:misc_RNA from 1 species
UUUCCGUAGGUGAACCUGCGGAAGGAUCAUUAUUGUAUAACCGAGCUCCGAGUUCUAUCUCUGACCCGAGAGUUCGUGAACUCCCUGGUUCCGUCACACAGAUCCAUCUCACCCCUAUGUGCACCACCGCGUGGGUCCCCCCUGGCCAAGUACGGAGGAGGGCUGACUUUUUCACACAAACUUUGUAUGAAGUGUAAAAUGUAUUUUUUGUUUUUACGAGCACGCAAUCAAUACAACUUUCAACAACGGAUCGCAUGUCUCUAGCAUCCAUGAAGAACC